rnacentral:piRNA from 1 species
CAAACUGAGAGGAUUGUAGAACCC